GACGAACGCUGGCGGCGUGCCUAACACAUGCAAGUCGAACGGAAAGGCCCUGCUUUUGUGGGGUGCUUGAGUGGCGAACGGGUGAGUAACACGUGAGUAACCUGCCCUUGACUUUGGGAUAACUCUAGGAAACUGGGGCUAAUACCGGAUAGGAGCUCCUGCUGCAUGGUGGGGGUUGGAAAGUUUCGGUGGUGGGGGAUGGACUCGCGGCUUAUCAGCUUGAUGGUGAGGUAGUGGCUUACCAAGGGUUUGAGGGGUAGCCGGCCUGGGAGGGUGACCGGGGACAUGAGUACUAAGGUAGGGCCCAGAAUGCAACGGGAGGCAGCGGUGGAAAGUCUUACGCAGUAAGCGGAAGCCUGAUACGACGACGCCGCGUGCGGAAUGACGGGCUUCGGGUUGUAAACCGCUUUGGACUGUAACGAAGCGAGAGUGACGGUAAUGGAUAAGAAAGCACCGGCUAACUACGUG
rnacentral:rRNA from 1 species